GAUUACCCGCUGAACUUAAGCAUAUCAAUAAGCGGAGGAAAAGAAACUAACAAGGAUUCCCCUAGUAGCGGCGAGCGAAGCGGGAAGAGCUCAAAUUUGUAAUCUGGCGCUUUCAGCGUCCGAGUUGUAAUCUCUAGAAAUGUUUUCCGCGUUGCACCGCACACAAGUCUGUUGGAAUACAGCGGCACAGUGGUGAGACCCCCGUUCAUGGUGCGGAUGCGCAAUGCUUUGUGAUACAUUUUCGAAGAGUCGAGUUGUUUGGGAAUGCAGCUCAAAUUGGGUGGUAAAUUCCAUCUAAAGCUAAAUAUUGGCGAGAGACCGAUAGCGAACAAGUACCGUGAGGGAAAGAUGAAAAGCACUUUGGAAAGAGAGUUAACAGUACGUGAAAUUGUUGGAAGGGAAACGCUUGAAGUCAGACUUGCUGUUCGGAGUUCAGCCGCAAGGUGUACUCUCCGAGUUGCAGGCCAGCAUCAGUUUUUCGGGGUGGAAAAUCACGGUUUGAAGGUAGCAGUUUCGGCUGUGUUAUAGCUUUCCGUUGGAUACAUCCUGGGGGACUGAGGAACGCAGUGUGCUUUUAGCAGGGGUUUCGACCUCUUCACACUUAGGAUGCUGGUGGAAUGGCUUUAAACGACCCGUCUUGAAACACGGACCAAGGAGUCUAACAUGCUUGCGAGUAUUUG
rnacentral:rRNA from 1 species